rnacentral:rRNA from 1 species
GAUGAACGCUGGCGGCGUGCCUAAUACAUGCAAGUCGAGCGAACGGACGAGAAGCUUGCUUCUCUGAUGUUAGCGGCGGACGGGUGAGUAACACGUGGAUAACCUACCUAUAAGACUGGGAUAACUUCGGAAAACCGGAGCUAAUACCGGAUAAUAUUUUGAACCGCAUGGUUCAAAAGUGAAAGACGGACUUGCUGUCACUUAUAGAUGGAUCCGCGCUGCAUUAGCUAGUUGGUAAGGUAACGGCUUACCAAGGCAACGAUGCAUAGCCGACCUGAGAGGGUGAUCGGCCACACUGGAACUGAGACACGGUCCAGACUCCUACGGGAGGCAGCAGUAGGGAAUCUUCCGCAAUGGGCGAAAGCCUGACGGAGCAACGCCGCGUGAGUGAUGAAGGUCUUCGGAUCGUAAAACUCUGUUAUUAGGGAAGAACAUAUGUGUAAGUAACUGUGCACAUCUUGACGGUACCUAAUCAGAAAGCCACGGCUAACUACGUG